rnacentral:rRNA from 1 species
CCGGGGGGUACGGGGUAGGUAAAUAAGUUCUGGGUAAACGGUUCGAUGGAGGGGGAUAAUAGCUGGAAACGGUAGCUAAUACCGCAUAACGUCGCAAGACCAAAGAGGGGGACCUUCGGGCCUCUUGCCAUCGGAUGUGCCCAGAUGGGAUUAGCUAGUAGGUGGGGUAACGGCUCACCUAGGCGACGAUCCCUAGCUGGUCUGAGAGGAUGACCAGCCACACUGGAACUGAGACACGGUCCAG